rnacentral:lncRNA from 1 species
UUGCAUCCACAGCAGGGGUUGGUUGAGAAGGUUUGGAAUCUUGAGUGAAGAGGAGAUUCCAAGGAGAGGCAGUUGAUCUCUCUAUCUUGAGAGAGCAAAGGUGAUGGUAUGAUCAGAGAUUGGCUCCUGAGCUAUUCAAAAUCCCUCAUUGAACGUAAUUUGCCAUUUCCCCCCAAAGAUACCAGGAAGUGUGGCAGAAACCUGAGAAGAAUAAGAAACAGCAUAACAAGAUUUCACACAGCUCCUGUGACACCCUGGGUCUGGACAUUGGCACUGCUGUGACAAAGACCGGGGGUCACAAACCUGAACCUCUCAAAGACCAGAUUUGUAUCCAAGUGUAUUGCUACUAGAAGAAAAGGAAUGGCACAUCCCAAGCGGACAAACACAGUCACAUGGCCUCAGUCAUCUACUUCAAUCUAUACAUGAAAGGAAUACCAACUAGACUCUACCAAACAGACCCUCUCCUCUAUGGGUUACAGAGCACAGCAUGAGAGACACAAUGAUUGAUAAGUAAUUGACAGAAGUGAACAGAUGCCAAAACCAUCAUGGACAGCACUUGGCAGUUGGUGAUAGUUGGAAGCCAGCAAGGUCUCGCAGCUUAACCCCAGAGAGAAAACAAAGUCCAAAGCCUCUCAGUUUCUCCUGGCCAGCUCAACUCUCAAAGAGACAACCAACUCCAAAAAGCCAAGUUUCUGUUUCUCCUCCUCUCUGUGGCCAGAAACCCCCAACUGCCACUCUUGGGAACAUUCUGUUUGGAACCUUCCUCUUUAUGGACAGACAGGAUGCUGCCAGGAAGUAAGUCAAGUAAAGAGAAGCAAGAUAUUCUGGAUAAGACUAUCUUUAAUUUUGUCAAAAUUUGACCAACUGGUCAACCAAAGAGAAUCAGCACAAAAUGGCUACAUAUGCUCCAAAGUCUAUGGGACUAUUGCAAUAGCUAAAUAUCCUGUGAAGCCUCAAGAAUACUGGUCUCUUCACCAUUAUAUCAAUAUAAUACAACCUGUGGAAUUUUGAAUACCAGAUUUUGGAUGCCAACUCUCUCAAUUUAUCCAAAACUAUGCCUUUUCAUAAUAUUCUUACCACUACUGAUAGAUAAUAAUAUAUUCUGCUCUCCAGAUGUGUAUAUGUAACCUCCCUAUAGAUAUAGAAAAAUAGUCUCAGAAUAAAGAACAAAAACACUGAAUACUUAUCUAUUAA